rnacentral:tRNA from 1 species
GGAUGGAUGUCUAAGCGGUUGAAAGAGUCGGUCUUGAAAACCGAAGUAUUGAUAGGAAUACCGGGGGUUCGAAUCCCUCUCCAUCCG